AAAGCGUAAAUCAUCGUUUAUAAACAUGUGAGAGCGAAAUAAGCAAUGAAGUACUUAAUAAGAACAUUGCCUUUCGCCAAUAAACAUUCUUUCAUGAUCAUUACGAGCAUUUUAUGCCCAAGAGCUUUAAUAUGCGUAGUUCCUAAUGGAACACAGAAAUUCAUUCGAGAUGUCGAGUCACGGAGGCGUUGGUAGUUUCCUCUGUUUAAUAUAAGUAAUAGGUUUGUUGGAAAGAAUUCACUUAUGUAAAAGGGACCGCAAAACAAUCAUAAGCGACCGCUUUUUAUUUCUCCGAUAAAACCGCCUUUGGAAAACUAUUCAUGCUACUCUAUGAACCUUUUGUUUACGACGCCUUGAAACAGUUACUAUGGGGACAGGAAACCACUCAAUUACUCUAGUAUUGUGUUCGAUCGAAACAGGGUACGAACUUAUUUCCCGUAGACGGAGUUGGUGGAUGGCUUAACGUAACGCCUGGAAGGGUUGAAGGAAAACGAGAAGAUUUGAGGAGAAUAGUGGGAGAAUGCCGCCAGGACAGUAACCUGCAGCUCCAACUCCAGGGAACUGGGCUGAGUAAACGCAACGAGCGAUCGACAACCCGCCUGCUUCCGGCCGGGCGUCCCUGCACUACAUCUACAUCUGGUUUCGAUACUGACUUAAACAAUAUUACUUUAACCGGGCCU